UACCACUUAUGCAAGCGUUAUCCGGAAUUAUUGGGCGUAAAGCGUUUGUAGGCGGGCGAGUGUGUUUAAUGUUAAAUCUUAAAGCUCAACUUUGAAAUUGCGUUAAAAACUGCUUGUCUUGAGUAUGGUAGGGGUAAAGGGAAUUCCCAGUGUAGCGGUGAAAUGCGUAGAUAUUGGGAAGAACACUAAACAGCGAAGGCACUUUACUAGGCUAAUACUGACGCUGAGAAACGAAAGGUAAGGUAGCGAAACGGAUUAGAUACCCGUGUAGUCUUACCCGUAAACUAUGGACACUAAACGGUAAAUUUUUAAUUUACUGUUAAAGCUAACGCGUUAAGUGUCCCGCCUGGGGAGUAUGCUUGCAAAAGUGAAACUCAAAGGAAUUGACGGGGGCCCGCACAAGCGGUGGAGCAUGUGGUUUAAUUCGACGGUACACGAAGAACCUUACCAGGAUUUGACAUGCUAGAUAGUUGCUUGAAAGAGUAACGUGCCGUAAGGAAUCUAGACACAGGUGGUGCAUGGCUGUCGUCAGUUCGUGUUGUGAAAUGUUGGGUUAAGUCCCGCAACGAACGCAACCCUUGUCUUUAGUUAUUUUCUAAAGAGACUGCCUGUAAUAAACAGGAGGAAGGUAAGGAUGAGGUCAAGUCAUCAUGCCCCUUAUGUCCUGGGCUACACACGUGCUACAAUGGGAAAGACAAUGAGCUGCAAAUCUGUAAAUUUAAGCAAAUCUCUUAAACUUUCUCGUAGUUCGGAUUGUGGGCUGCAACUCGCCCACAUGAAGUUGGAAUCGCUAGUAAUCGCCAGUCAGCUAUAUGGCGGUGAAUCCGUUCCCGGGCCU
rnacentral:rRNA from 1 species